UGGCGGACGGGUGAGUAACGCGUGGGUAACCUGCCUUACACAGGGGGAUAACACCUGGAAACAGGCGCUAAUACCGCAUAAGCGCAUACAGCCGCAUGGCAGUAUGCGGAAAGCUCCGGCGGCACGGGAUGGGCCCGCGCCCGAUUAGCCAGUUGGCGGGGUAACGGCCCACCAAAGCGACGAUCGGUAGCCGGCCUGAGAGGGCGGACGGCCACAUUGGGACUGAGACACGGCCCAAACUCCUACGGGAGGCAGCAG
rnacentral:rRNA from 1 species